UAUCGUAUGGACCAUUGCUAUAUCGACCAAUUUCAACAGGUAAUCUACGAGCUGAUAUUCUGAGCUUCGUAACAGCUAAUUGACGAUGCUUAACAUUGCUAAUUUCAGAAAUAUAUUUUUCAAAUUCAAAAUUUAUUUUGAAUUUUUUUUUAUGUUCUUAACUUGCCUUGAUUUCGACCUUGUUGAUCAAAUCUGGUCUUUCCAGUAAAUUAUAUAUAGAUUAUAGUAUACUCUUUUUAAUUAAAUUAUUUUUUAUAAUAAUGGCAAAAGUUUCAUGUUACACAGUUCUAGUAAAUAUGUUGUAAAGGAUACUGGCUGUAACUGUAAGUUUAGAUCCUUUUUUCCAAACAAGACUAUCUCUUAAAUGAUUGGUUGUUGAUAGGUAUAUACACGCAAAAUGUCGCCUGUCAUUUGUAUAAUUAGAGGCAUUCUCCCUAGCUCCAAGGCCGACUUACAUUGCACAACUUUUGCCUAAAACUGUCGCAUGGAACCUGUUACAACUUGAGUUUUACUGUGUAAAUCAAGCCUACAACUCACCUAUGCGACAACUCAAGUUGUAAGCAGGUUAUAUACGCGACAGUUUUACUUUAGGGCAAAAAUUGUGUAGUGUAAGUCUGCCUAUAGGGAUUACAACGAGGACUUCAACCGUUUUGAGCGAAGGCCCUAAUUCGUCUAAAGGCCCUUAAAGGGUCUCAGCUUGAAACGGUCGAAAUUCUGGUAGUUGCAGCACAGUCUGUUCGAGAUCAUGUCAGAUUUUGGCAGCCGUAGCAAUUAAGCAGUAUUCAAAUAAACAUGACACUUGUGAUUGAUUCACACCAGUCUCUCGUGAAAGACUCGUCCUUUGCGGCAAAUUCUCACUCAACACCGAGUUGGUUUUCACUUGACAUAAUAGAGCAGGCAGCGAUUGCAAAAUAUGAACACCUGAAAAUUCAAUUAGGGAUGUACAAAAUCUGUGGGAAGGCGACACGUUUAAUAAUGAAUUCUUUGUAUUUUUAAGCAUUAAGCAUUUACCACAAAUUACCUAGCUGGAAACAUAUUGAAAUACGGUAAUUCUGGCCAUUUUGUGCUCAAAUUGGCAUUCACUUUGCGACAAUUAUACUUUUUAUUUUGGCACCGAAAAAUUUUCAGUCUAAAUAAUUUGUUUACA